rnacentral:rRNA from 1 species
CAGCAGCCACGGUAAUACGUAGGGUGCGAGCGUUAAUCGGAAUUACUGGGCGUAAAGCGUGCGCAGGCGGUUCGUUAAGACAGAUGUGAAAUCCCCGGGCUUAACCUGGGAACUGCAUUUGUGACUGGCGAGCUAGAGUAUGGCAGAGGGGGGUAGAAUUCCACGUGUAGCAGUGAAAUGCGUAGAGAUGUGGAGGAAUACCGAUGGCGAAGGCAGCCCCCUGGGCCAAUACUGACGCUCAUGCACGAAAGCGUGGGGAGCAAACAGGAUUAGAUACCCCAGUAGUCCCUGUCUCUUAUAC